ensembl:lncRNA
GCAGAAUUUUGCAUUGUGAAGGUCAUUAUAUCAAAUCAUGUAAGUCUUUUGUUUAGCCAGGAUCCUAUGCAAAUCUGAGAGAAAAUAAAGCAUUUUGAAAGUCAAAUGUUUCUAAACUAAAAUAAAGCCAAAGAGGUGAUUUUUAGGGAGAAGAAGAGUACUGACCAAGACAUCAGUGCACAGAGAAGUUAAAGCAAGUUAAAGUCAUAAUCAUGCUUGUCUUUCUGCUCCUUGCCUCAAUGUUUUACCAAGGUCUUACAGUUGUGAGCUAUGGAGACAACUUCAUCACUGCCUUUCCAGAGAACCUUGGUUUCUUCUAUCCGUCUGGUACCAUGAACUAUCUAAGAGUCACAGCCCUUUAUGACAGCACUAACUUCACAGUCUUCUACCAAAACAGACAGAUAGUCCAACAUAUUCCGAAGUCAGGACAGACCGUGAGUGUUGUGUUUCCAACGUCUGCUGAAAUAUAUCAACUAGGCUCUUCGCUUUUAUCUGUCAGAAUUACCAGUGACAAAAACAUCACAGUGGUUUCUGUAAGUAAUCGGGCAGGCAGCACCCAGUCCCAUGUCAUCCAGCCAACGGUAAAUCUCGGCACAAACUAUUUGAUCCCUUUGCUCGAUUACCCAGGGUAUCUUGAAUCUUUCAACCUAACUAGCCUUGUCAGUACAGCCAUAAGAUACAGCUCAUUCAAGUUACUCAUUAUCAAUGCGGUGGACAGUCAAAACAGUGUCACUUUAGUCAAGCAAACAUCAACAUCAGGUAUUCAAAAUGAGACGUUCAGUAUGGAUUCCUACCAGCUGGUGCAGCUUCAGACCAACGGUUCUGUUUUGAGGGUCAAAUCAAGCAAAGAAAUCGCUGUGAUACUGACCCACCCAUGUGUAGAGACUCAGAGCUGUAACUGUAACUUGGUAAUAAAUCAGAUUAUUCCCACAAAGUUUCAGGGUCGGAGCUUUAUCGUACCUUCCAUCUUCAACAAUUCUGAGACCAAAUUACUUAUGCUGUCAGAAAACACGUCCUCGCUAUUUCACAAUGGUAACCAGCUACAGGCUUCUCCCUCAACGCUUCUGCCAUUUCCAGACCUGCAGAAAUCCCAGCUGGUAAAUGCAACAGAGCAAGUGUCCCUCAGGCUUUUCAGUCCGGGCGUCAUUGUGGAGUUGAUCCCAGAAACCAUGUUUUUUGCUUGCUUCCUGCUGCAAUUUUCUUCAACAAAUGGCAAGGCAUUGGUGAUCGCUGAAACAGACAGUAAAGAUGAUGUGCACACACAUAAUGGUUUGCUCUCAGCAUCUGACUGGACUGCAAUCGCUGGCACAAACUACUCUUCGGCUGUUGUAACUAUACCAGAUCAAAUUGCCACAAUCUGGCAUCCAACAUCGAGGAUUGGUGUUUAUAUGCUGGAACAUAUGUCUGCAAAAGUAAUGUUUGGAGGCCCGGCUAUACCAAUCAAUGAAAAACCAGAUCUUCAUGGCUGUAUGUUAGUUCCUGGAGCAUUUGCAAUUGGAAAGGACCCUCUAAGUUGGACGGAGUCUCGACAUGGCUGAUAACCUGACCAAGGAGGAUGGGGAUGGCUGGAUCGGUCUCCGCCGCAGUUUACUAACUACAGAUUGGUACUGGCAGGAGGAGUAUGAGCCCCCAAUCUCUGUCAAUUACAUUCACUGGGAUGACGGGCAUCCACUGAACGUUUUGAAGGGCUUAUGUACUUCAGUGUCACUUGACCCUAAAAAUGAUUUCAAAUGGCAAAGUGCACGCUGCUGUGAUAAAAAGAAGCCAGUCUGCUACAAAAGGCCAGCUUACCUCAUUCCUUCACAACAAUUGUUGGUACUUAACGUUUAGUGCUUGUUAGUCAUGCUAUUCUUUAGGUUCAAUAAGUUCAUACGGCAUAACCACCUGCAUAUCUGAGCUGUAUUUUUAAUGAUUGCAAUGUCUUUAUGUUAGAUUUAUUUUAUAUACAUGCUAAAAUUAUAUAAGGUUAAGGUCAUAUUAAGCAGUUGUGUUGAUAUUUGAAUUAAACUGUUUUUCAACUUAUCUUAGACAUUGACUCAAAUGGAAACAGGAAGUAGAUCUGGAAAUUAUGAAUGCCACAUCAACAAAAAAAAUGUAUAUCAUUAAUAAAAUGAACAAAAAUAUUAUAAUCAACGUAGAACUUUAAAGGGUUGUAUAUAACAAAAUAAAAUUGUAUAAAGCAUGACAUUAAGUGUCAAUCUUGAGAUAUAA